GGCUCGGCGUUGGCCUCCGCGGCCCGUGCGAGUGCGCCCUUCUCGGGUCCCCUAGGUCGCGGGGCAGCCGGGGCGGAAGGGGCUUGUUCAUUAUUUUGAGAGUUUGUUGUGAACGUCAUAACCUUUCGUCCUUAAAUAUUGCCGAUACUUGACCUACGCAAGAGACAAUGUCAUGUGAUUCAGCCUAAUAUCUCAGAGGAUGCAGCAUUCAAGGUUCUAUCUUGGAAGCAGAGACUGUGCCCUCACCAGAUGCUGAACCUGCUGAGCACCCUGAUCUUCCACUUCACCUUCAUCAGAACUGGACGCGCAUGAAAUUUGGUGCCGUGACUCGGAUCGGCGGACCUCCCUUAGGAGAUCAAUCCCCUGUCCUCCUGCUCUUUGCUCCAUGAGAAAGAUCCACCUACGACCUAAGGUCCUCAGACCAACCAGCCCAAGAAACAUCUCACCAAUUUCAAAUCCGAAAUCCUUCAUCUAAUCUGGCAAACACAUGUGGCAGGUUUUUCUCACCGCAUAAAAUAUGUUAUAGAGUAGUCCAUCUAUUUCUCUUCCAUGGAAGAGUUCAUCUGGUAGAUUGGACUACCACUUUUCCUUGUUCAGGUGUACAUGUGCAGAUUUGUUGCAUGGGUAAACUGUAUGACAUGGGGAUUUGGUGUACAUAUUAUUUCAUCACCCAGGAAGAGGAAGAAGAAGAGGGAGGAAGGAGAGAAAAAAGGAAGGAAGGAAAGAAGAAAAGAAAAAAGAAUGAGAGAGAGAGAACAAAAGCAUCACCAAUAAGUGACGCUAGGAGCUAGCCCAAUGCAGAAGAAUGAAAUUGGACCCUUUUCUUUCACCAUAUACAAAAACUCACUCAAGAUGGGUGAAAGACUUAAAUGUAAAACCUAAAACUGUAAAAACCCUAGGAAACCUACGAAAUGUCAUUCUGGAUAUAGACCCUGGCAAGGAUUUCAUGAUAAAGACUCCAAAAGCAAUUGCAACAGAAACAAAAA
ensembl:lncRNA LINC00882 long intergenic non-protein coding RNA 882